AGCAGCCGCGGUAAUUCCAGCUCCAAUAGCGUAUAUUAAAGUUGUUGCAGUUAAAAAGCUCGUAGUUGAAUUUCGGGAUCAAUAUAUCGGUCGUGCCUUGGUACGUACUGGUAUCAUUGGUUUCUCCUUUCUGACGAACCAUGAUGUCAUUAAUUUGGUGUUAUGGGAAGUUAGGACUGUUACUUUGAAAAAUUAGAGUGUUUAAAGCAGGCUUUGGCUUGAAUACAUUAGCAUGGAAUAAUGAAAUAGGACGUUCGAACCUAUUUUGUUGGUUUCUAGGAUCAACGUAAUGAUUAAUAGGGAUAGUUGGGGGCAUUAGUAUUCAAUUGUCAGAGGUGAAAUUCUUGGAUUUAUUGAAGACUAACUACUGCGAAAGCAUUUGCCAAGGAUGUUUUCAUUAAUCAAGAACGAAAGUUAGGGGAUCGAAGACGAUCAGAUACCGUCGUAGUCUUAACCAUAAACUAUGCCGACUAGGGAUCGGAUGAUGUUAAUUUUUUAAUGACUCAUUCGGCGCCUUAUA
rnacentral:misc_RNA from 1 species